rnacentral:ncRNA from 1 species
GACCUUGGGAGGCGUUGAUCCGAUGGCGGCACGCACGCGGCCACCACGCACCGGCGGUGAGCCACUGGUGAGACCGGCCCGCGAGGCC